rnacentral:misc_RNA from 1 species
AAGUCGUAACAAGGUUUCCGUAGGUGAACCUGCGGAAGGAUCAUUUGAGUUUGUUUCCGUGUCCGUGCGCGGCUUUGUGGAUUCAUUUCCAUGAAUGCUCACACUCUCACUGCAAACCCACUUUGAAAAGUCAACUGUGUGGAAGCGAAUCUCUCACUGCUGAGCGUGCGUGUAUGUAUGUUGUGCGUUGCGUGUUGUGUUUUUCUUAAAUACAGCCCGCAGCCGCACGCUGCGCGCACUGCUCACUGGUGUCGAUGCAUAUUUUUACAAACACGAUGGAUAAACCAUUCAGUUGUGUACCUACAAAGUACACACAAAACCAUGGCCAAAGGCGUACACACAAAAAUACACAAAAAGUGAGUACAGUUUUAACGGUGGAUCUCUUGGCUCGU